CGUAGGGUGCAAGCGUUAAUCGGAAUUACUGGGCGUAAAGCGUGCGCAGGCGGUUUUGUAAGUCAGCUGUGAAAUCCCCGGGCUUAACCUGGGAAUGGCAGUUGAGACUGCAAGGCUAGAGUGUGUCAGAGGGGGGUAGAAUUCCACGUGUAGCAGUGAAAUGCGUAGAGAUGUGGAGGAAUACCGAUGGCGAAGGCAGCCCCCUGGGAUAACACUGACGCUCAUGCACGAAAGCGUGGGGAGCAAACAGGAUUAGAUACCCUGGUAGUCCACGCCCUAAACGAUGUCAACUAGUUGUCGGGACUAAUUAGUCUUGGUAACGCAGCUAACGCGUGAAGUUGACCGCCUGGGGAGUACGGUCGCAAGAUUA
rnacentral:rRNA from 1 species